CGCCUGGUCUUGUCUAUUUCAGUAACGGGCGCCAUCAGUCGUAGGGGCGCUUUGUUUGCACCCCAGGUCCAACUUAUUGCAUGUAAUGACUGUCAGUCUCGCCCGCUAUCCCGUAAGCGCCACGAACCCUUGCUCUACUAAGUUCCCGUGGCCCCUGGCCGGUGAUUGACAGGACGAGGGGUCGGAGACCGCGCAAGCGCAAUAGCUUCGGGAGCGCUUCCGGGAAAGCGCUGUGGAAAUUUUUUGGUGUAAGUGGGGACGGUGGCCGGGAGGUUGCUGUCCGCUCUCCGCGUUCUGGGCUUGGGGCACCAUGCGCUACAACGAGAAGGAACUGCAGGCGUUGUCCCGGCAGCCGGCCGACUUGGCGGCCGAGCUAGGCAUGCGGGGCCCCAAGAAGGGCAGCGUGGUGAAGCGCAGGCUGGUGAAGCUGGUGGUCAAUUUCCUGUUCUACUUCCGGACUGAUGAGGCCGAGCCUGUCGGAGCCCUGCUAUUGGAGCACUGCAGAGUCACCCACGAAGAGCCCACCGGCUUCUCCAUCAGCUUCAUCGAGGAUCCGGAGAGGAAGUAUCACUUUGAGUGCUGCAGCGAGGAGCAGUGUCAGGAGUGGAUGGGGGCUCUGCGUCGAGCCAGCUACGAGUUCAUGCGCAGGAGCGUCAUCUUCUACAGGAAUGAAAUCCAGAAGAUGACUGGCAAGGACCCCCUGGAACAGUUCGGCAUAUCGGAGGAAGCCCGGUUCCAGCUGAGUGGCUUGAAGGCAUGAGUCUAGGGUUGGGCCUGGGCUCCUCAGCUUGACUCACUGGGGCCUGAAGGAGCCCUUCUCACCCUCGCCAGGCCCUGGGUUUCCUGGCCAAACCUGGAUUUUUGGAGUGAGGUGUUUUGCCUUAAAGACUUCAAUAACCCAAGGCUUGUGAGGGCGGGCAGAGGCUGUGCCUUGGGACCUAUCAGACUAGUCCAGCACCUCUCAGUGCCACAUGCUGCUGCUAGAGGAUGAGUGUCUACUCCCAGGAGCUGUGCCUGGCUUCUGGGGCUCGUCCAUCUAGGGCCCGGUGGGUGCCUGAGGCCGGCGCAGCUCUCUCACCCUGUGCAGGCUGAAUGUAUGAAGCUCGAUAAAGCUGUGAAGGGCGCGGGAGCCGCGCCUCCUGGACUGCUGUGAAUUCUGCUGAGGGCCAGGACCCAGCCAACACCUCUGGACAGAGCUGGAAGUUUCUGCUCUCAAGCUGGCAUGCUUGUUCUGUUCAAAUAAAGGGACAACGCACAAACAUUGCUCAACCGAGAGACCCAGGACUCGUUGCAACUUCAGCGCUGGAGGAACCCAAGAACCUUUUGGCAACCUCUGGAAGCAUCCAAACAGCUCUCCUACCUUCCUGCAAAGCCAGCCUUUGCCCUCGAUCACCCGAGGUGCAUUUUUCUCUAAGCACCAUGGAGACUGCUCCAAUGUGAGGGCAGUUGUCACCCCAGUCAUGGGACUGAAGGGCCAUGGAGCAGCAGCAUGGACUGACCAGGGGGAUGCGGAGCGCUCUGGCCCUAGGCCAAUGCCACUUGUGUACACUUGAAUAAAUAAAAAGGUUUUCCCCCUCAA